rnacentral:rRNA from 1 species
AGCGAACGCUGGCGGCAGGCUUAACACAUGCAAGUCGAGCGGGCCCUUCGGGGUCAGCGGCGGACUGGUGAGUAACGCGUGGGAACGUGCCUUCUGGUCUGGAAUAACCCUGGGAAACUAGGUCUAAUACCGGAUACGCCCUUUUUGGGAAAGGUUUACUGCCGGAAGAUCGGCCCGCGUCUGAUUAGCUCGUUGGUGUGGUAACGGCCUACCAAGGCGACGAUCAGUAGCUGGUCUGAGAGGAUGAUCAGCCACACUGUGACUGAGACACGGCCCAGAAUCCUACGGGAAGUAGCAGUGGGGAAUAUUGGAAAAUGGGCGCAAGCAUGAUCCAGCCAUGCCGCGUGAGUGAUGAAGGCAGUAGGGUUGUAAAGCUCUUUUAUCCGGGACGAUAAUGACGGUACCGGAGGAAUAAGCCCCGGCUAACUUCGUG